rnacentral:rRNA from 1 species
AGCGCAGGCGGUUCAGCAAGUCAUUGGUGAAAUUCUCGGGCUCAACCCGGGGGCUGCCAAUGAUACUGCUGAUCUUGAGUGUGGAAGAGGUAGAUGGAAUUCCUGGUGUAGCGGUGAAAUGCGUAGAUAUCAGGAAGAACACCGAUGGCGAAGGCAGUCUACUGGUCCAUUACUGACGCUCAUGCUCGAAAGCGUGGGGAUCAAACAGGAUUAGAUACCCUGGUAGUCCACGCCCUAAACGAUGGAUACUCGAUGUCGUACCGCAAGGUUCGGUGUCUAAGCCAACGCAGUAAGUAUCCCACCUGGGAAGUACGAUCGCAAGGUUGAAA